CGCCCUACAGACGCACACUCCAGCAACAGUGACUGGGCAGACAGGAGCAGCAGUCAGAGCCGGUGAGCCAUGUGGACUUCAGAGCACUCCCAGCUGCCACAAAAAUCCCGUGGCCUCGCCCUGUUCAAGAGGUUUUUAAAUGGCACUCCUAGCACUAAGUGAACACCAGCGAGAUCUUGCCAUGAUCUCUGUUUUUUUCCAGUUUUACUGGCAAAUAA